AUGCAUCACGCCAAGACCGACUCGGAGGUGACGUCGAGCAUGGCGCCGUCGUCGCCGCCGCGGGCGCCCUACUACGUGCAGUCGCCCAGCCACGACGACGGGGAGAACCACUCCAAGACGGCCGCCUCCUCCUUCCACUCCUCCCCGGCCGCGUCCCCGCCGCGCUCGCUCGGGAACCACUCCAGGGAGUCCUCCUCCUCCCGCUUCUCCGGCAAGGUCCCCUCCGCAGGCUCGUCCCGCCGCGGGGUCGCCGGCGGAGGCGGGAAGCGCGGCGGUGGCGGCGGUGGCGGCGGCGAGGCGGCGCGCCGCAGCCCCUGGAUGAAGGAGGCGGCCAUCGAGGAGGAGGGGCUCCUCAUGGAGGACGACGACGACGCCGACGGCCGCGCCGGCGGCUUCUCCGCGCUCCCCAGGAAGGUGCGCUACGGGCUGGGCUUCGUCGCCGCCUUCCUCGUGCUCUUCACCUUCUUCGCCCUCAUCCUCUGGGGCGCCAGCCGCAACCAGAAGCCCGUCGUCUCCGUCAACAGCGUGACGUUCCACAACUUCGUGAUCCAGGCGGGGACGGACGCGUCGCUGGUGCCGACGGAGAUGUCCACGAUCAACGCCACGGUGAGGCUCACGUUCCGCAACACGGGGAGCUUCUUCGGCGUGCACGUCACGGCGCAGCCCGUCACGCUCUACUACUCCCAGCUCCUCAUGGCCUCCGGCGACAUGAAGUACUUCUACCAGCCUCGGAAGAGCCAGCGCAAGGUGGCGGUGACGGUGGUGGGCAACAAGGUGCCGCUGUACGGCGGCGGCGCGGGGCUGAGCAGCACGCCGGGGCCCAAGGGCGUGCCCCCGCCGCCGGUGCCGCUGCAGCUGACGCUGAGGAUCAGGGCGCGGGCGCUGGUGCUGGGCAAGCUGGUCAAGCCCAGGUUCUACAACAACGUGCAGUGCACCGUCCGGCUGGACACGACCAAGCUGGGCAAAGCCAUAUCCCUCAAGAAAUCCUGCACCCACGUCUAG
rnacentral:rRNA from 1 species